rnacentral:rRNA from 1 species
CGCAAUUCACUUUAUAAAGUGCUUAACAAGAAUUGAGCAUUGAGUGUUGAAAAUGAGUCGAGUGGCAAACGGGUGAGUAACGCGUAGACAACCUGCCGCAAAGAUGGGGACAACAGUCCGAAGGGACUGCUAAUACCGAAUGUUGUCAGAUUCCCGCAUGGGAGACUGAUUAAAGAUGGCCUCUACUUGUAAGCUAUCGCUUUGCGAUGGGUCUGCGUCUGAUUAGCUAGUUGGUGGGGUAACGGCCUACCAAGGCGACGAUCAGUAGCCGGUCUGAGAGGAUGAACGGCCACAUUGGAACUGAGACACGGUCCAGACUCCUACGGGAGGCAGCAGUGGGGAAUCUUCCGCAAUGGGCGAAAGCCUGACGGAGCAACGCCGCGUGAGUGAAGAAAGGGGUUUCGGCUCGUAAAGCUCUGUUGACGGGGACGAACGUGCGAGAUGCGAAUAGUUUCUUGCAAUGACGGUACCCGUCGAGGAAGCCACGGCUAACUACGUGCCAGCAGCAGC